AGCAGAGUGGCGCAGCGGAAGCGUGCUGGGCCCAUAAUCUAGAGGUCGAUGUAUCGAAACCAUCCUCGGCCA
rnacentral:tRNA from 1 species